rnacentral:rRNA from 1 species
CGUUGAUAGGAUGCAGGUGUAAAGCUGGAGACAGCAAAGCCGAGCAUUACUAAUUGCCCGAAAGCUUUCCUUA